rnacentral:rRNA from 1 species
UGAGUAAAGUGGCGUACGGGUGAGUAACACGUGGAUUAUCUACCCUCUUGUGGGGGAUAACUCUGGGAAACCGGAGCUAAUACCGCAUAAGUCCGAGAGGAGAAAGCAGCAAUGCGCAGGAGGAGGAGUCCGCGGCCGAUUAGCUAGUUGGUAGGGUAAAAGCCUACCAAGGCUAAGAUCGGUAGCCGGCCUGAGAGGGCACACGGCCACACUGGCACUGAAACACGGGCCAG